UACGGGGGGGGGCAAGCGUUGUUCGGAAUUACUGGGCGUAAAGGGCGCGUAGGCGGCCUUCUAAGUCAGACGUGAAAUCCCACGGCUUAACCGUGGAACUGCGUCUGAUACUGGAGGGCUUGAAUCCGGGAGAGGGAUGUGGAAUUCCAGGUGUAGCGGUGAAAUGCGUAGAUAUCUGGAGGAACACCGGUGGCGAAGGCGGUUCUCUGGGCCUUACCUGACGCUGAGGAGCGAAAGCGUGGGGGAGCGAAACAGG
rnacentral:rRNA from 1 species